rnacentral:rRNA from 1 species
GACGAACGCUGGCGGCGUGCUUAACACAUGCAAGUCGAACGGAAAGGCCCUGCUUUUGUGGGGUGCUCGAGUGGCGAACGGGUGAGUAACACGUGAGUAACCUGCCCUUGACUUUGGGAUAACUUCAGGAAACUGGGGCUAAUACCGGAUAGGAGCUCCUGCUGCAUGGUGGGGGUUGGAACGUUUCGGCGGUUGGGGAUGGACUCGCGGCUUAUCAGCUUGUUGGUGGGGUAGUGGCUUACCAAGGCUUUGACGGGUAGCCGGCCUGAGAGGGUGACCAGACACACUGGAACUGAGAAACGGUCCAGACUGCGACGGGAGGCAGCAGGGGGGAAUAUUGGACAAUGGGCGCAAGCCUGAUCCAGCCAUACCGCGUGGGUGAAGAAGGCCUUCGGGUUGUAAAGCCCUUUUGUUGGGAAAGAAAAGCAGAAGGUUAAUCACCCGCUGUUCUGACGGUACCCAAAGAAUAAGCAACGGCUAACUUCGUG